rnacentral:rRNA from 1 species
CAGUCGCCGCGGUAAUACGUAGGGUGCAAGCGUUGUCCGGAAUCAUUGGGCGUAAAGCGCGCGUAGGUGGCCAUUUAAGUCCGCUGUGAAAGUCAAAGGCUCAACCUUUGAAAGCCGGUGGAUACUGGAUGGCUAGAGUACGGAAGAGGCGAGUGGAAUUCCUGGUGUAGCGGUGGAAUGCGCAGAUAUCAGGAGGAACACCAAUAGCGAAGGCAGCUCGCUGGGACGUUACCGACACUGAGGCGCGAAAGCGUGGGGAGCGAACAGGAUUAGAUACCCGCGUAGUCCCUGUCUCUUAUAA